UACAGAGGUCCCAAGCGUUGUUCGGAUUCACUGGGCGUAAAGGGUGCGUAGGCGGGUCUUUUAAGUCAGGGGUGAAAUCCUGGAGCUCAACUCCAGAACUGCCUUCGAUACUGGCGAUCUUGAGUCCGGAAGAGGUGAGUGGAACUCCUAGUGUAGAGGUGGAAUUCGUAGAUAUUAGGAAGAACACCAGUGGCGAAGGCGGCUCACUGGUCCGGUACUGACGCUGAGGUGCGAAAGCGUGGGGAGCAAACAGG
rnacentral:rRNA from 1 species